UUACUUGACACUGUUCUGCUCUGUACCUGACGUGUUUGGUGCAUCUCUUUUCAGGUACAAGAUGGCUCUCACCAGAAUUGGUCUUGCUGGCCUCGCCGUCAUGGGGCAGAACCUCGCCCUCAACAUUGCAGAGAAAGGCUUCCCCAUCUCUGUCUACAACAGGACCACCUCCAAGGUCGAUGAGACUGUCCAGCGCGCCAAGCUAGAAGGAAACCUUCCUCUCUACGGUUUCCAUGACCCUGCAUCCUUCGUCAACUCCAUUCAGAAGCCACGUGUCGUCAUCAUGCUUGUCAAGGCCGGCGCACCUGUUGACCAGACCAUUGCGACGCUCGCAGCUCACCUGGAGCAGGGCGACUGCAUCGUUGACGGAGGAAACGAGUGGUAUGAGAACACGAAAAGGAGGGAGAAGGCGAUGGAGGAGCGUGGGCUCCUCUACCUCGGGAUGGGUGUUUCCGGAGGAGAGGAGGGUGCCCGCCAUGGCCCCUCCAUGAUGCCUGGAGGCUCAUUGGAGGCAUAACAGUACAUUGAAGACAUUCUUCUCAAGGUGUCUGCUCAGAUCCCUGACAGCGGCCCCUGUGUCACAUACAUUGGGAAUGGUGGAUCCGGAAACUUUGUCAAGAUGGUUCACAAUGGCAUUGAGUACGGUGACAUGCAGCUGAUCGCUGAGGCGUAUGACGUUCUCAAGUCGGUUGGCAAGCUUACAAACGGUGAGCUGCAGCAGGUUUUUGCCGAGUGGAACAAGGGUGAGCUCCUCAGUUUCUUGGUCGAGAUCACUGCUGAUAUAUUCAGCAUCAAGGAUGACCAGGGUGAAGGCUACUUGGUCGACAAGGUCCUGGACAAGACCGGGAUGAAGGGAACCGGGAAGUGGACGGUGCAGCAGGCUGCUGAGCUCUCUGUGGCUGCUCCUACCAUUGAGGCGUCCUUGGAUUCCAGGUUCCUCAGCGGACUCAAGGAUGAGCGUGUCGCGGCUUCCAAGAUCUUCCAGGGCGACUACUCCAGUGGCGAAACUGUGGACAAGGCACAGCUGAUCGAGGAUGUGAGGAAAGCCCUCUAUGCCUCCAAGAUCUGCAGCUACGCCCAGGGCAUGAACAUCAUCAAGGCCAAGAGCACGGAGAAGGGAUGGGGCCUCAACCUCGGCGAGCUGGCCAGGAUCUGGAAGGGCGGGUGCAUCAUCCGCGCCAGCUUCCUCGACCGCAUCAAGAAGGCCUAUGACAGGAACGGUGAGCUCGCCAACCUCCUGAUCGACCCUGAGUUCGCGCAGGAGAUCAUGGACAGGCAAGCCGCAUGGAGGAGGGUUGUCUGCCUCGCCAUCAACAACGGGGUCAGCACCCCUGGCAUGUCCACGAGUCUGGCCUACUUCGACUCCUACCGGAGGGACAGGCAAUUUUUUCUGGUUCAGGUACUUUUUUCAAAUUCGUGAACUUUUUAAAAUUCCAGUUACUUUUUCCCUAUUCGUGUAAUUUUUCAAAUUUGGAAAAAGUUCCUGGAUUAAAAAAAAACACGAACUUGGAAAAAGCAGGCGGUUUCGAAAAAAAGUAAACGAACAUGAAAAAAGUACACAGAUCUGAAAAAAUGUACGGGAAUUUGAAAAGGUGUGUGGGUUUGAAAAAAUUAUGCAAACUUGUUAAAAGUACUCGAACUUGUAAAAUUUACGUGAACUUGUAAAAACUAUGAGAAAUUUAAAAAACUGACGGAUUUGAAAAAGUACACGAAUGUGAAAAAAGUAUGGGGCCUUGAAGAAAGUACGCGGAUUUGAAAAAAAGUAUGUAAAUUUCAAAAAAGUUCACUGAUUUAAAAAGAAUAUGUGAAUUUGAGUCAGGACCGCUCAAAACCGGGGUGAGUUUGCAGUAAAACCGGUCAAAACCAAGACCAGGGGACGAACCUUGUCCGGUUUCAAUAAUUGGGUGUGUGAAUUGUUCGGUUUCGUAGUUGGGGGCUAAAUCUAGACUGCACCAAAAAUCAAGGGGCAAAAGGUAUACUUUUCUCUUUUGAUAAAGCUUAAGUUUGAGGCGGUCUUUUGAAAAUGUGUCGGGCCAAAUAAGUUGAGCUCCCUAAUGGGGCAGGAGUGGAUUUUUAUUCUCGAUGACCAGUCUGGAUUUUUAUUCUCGAUGACCAGUCUGGUGAUAAAAUUCCUUUUAUCAAUGAGCAAAUGAGAUGAAGCAAAGCUUUUGCCUCGUUUAGAAAAUCUUGGUCUGUGGUGACAUGCUUAUCUUAGUACUAAGGAUGAUUAUUUGUUAGUAACAUUAUGUAUGCCAACGAGCCUCCCUCUCCUUGUGCUGUAAAAAGAAAUUUUACCGUGUGAAAACUGAUGGCUUUUGGGGACACGAAGAAUGUGAGGCAGGUCGUGCGAGGAGACGCCCAAGUUGACCAGCUGGAGCAGGUCAGGCAGGUAGACAAUGAGAAGCAAUACGUCAGCGAACCUCUCGAUAUAUAUCAUUGUUUGAACGUGUAGAGGUGAUGUGUUGGUCCGUCACCACCGACGACUUCACAGGAGAAAUUGAUCCAUUAGACGAACCAAACUUUGGGUAGGUACACACGAUUAUUAAAAGGUGCAACUCUAGAACAAAUCAGGGAAGUGUUGCAUUGAAUAAAAUACAGAUGUUCAAUCUGAGUGGAAUGAAAAAGAAAAAACAUAAUGACAGUGUCAUUAGCAGAAAAUCCGAGAGAAUUGAUCCAUCACAAUAAAAGUAGUGGUUUUUUUUACUGAUGACACCGCUUUUGAGGUGUUUUGCAUUUCACUUGUUCAAUCUGAAUGAAGACCUAAAAAUCCAUGCCCGACUUAUAAACCCAACCGGAGAUAAUAGUUAGAGCCGGUUUGUGUGCUGGACUAGGGGCUUGUAUCGUGAGAAAAAGAGAAAAAAAUGAUGCGCGCGCGUGUGUGUGUGUUUGUAUUUUUUUCAUGUGACUAAUCUGUAGGCGAAUCCCAACAUGCUCUAUAGAAGCAAGUUUUUUCACAUUCAGGUGAAAUCGUCAAACGAGGUAGUAUUACUUUACAAAAUGCUUCCGCAAGUCCCAAUCUCUUCUCCCUAGUUUAACCGGCACGUCACGUAGUGUCACUCGCUGAAAACCUUAAACUUAUGGAUUCUUUUUUUUUUAAGUUUAAGAAUAUGUUAAACUUAUGGAUUCUACCUAAACCACUCCCGCGGCAUCUUCCACGACGUGCACUACAUAAGCGUCACUGUCACUUGCACGUCCCAAGCGUUUUCCACCAACAGUGAUCAGUCUCUCUUGUUGAUUGAUUAGCCUGAUUGAUAACAAAAGCUGCAUCAGCAUUUAGUAUCAUCUCUCACCCUUGUCGUGGCAAGUUGCGAUCUAGGAGUAGAUUGCAUGGCUGGCAGUGGUACGGUUUACACGCAUGGUUUGAUUUGCCAUGUUUACAGUACAGUUUGUCGAAAGUACAGUAAUAAUUUUUUGUAGCCCAUGCCCCAUCAACAAUGCAAAGUGCUUACGUAGGUGCUUAGAAAAACAAGCCGAUUUUUUCUUAAACACCGGAAAACAUGCAACCGCUAUUUCUAUAUACACUACUUAAAAAAAACAGUGUUAUUUUUCGUGCUGGCAGAACACCAUUCUACCUUCUACCAUCCUUCAUCUGCCCCUCCUCCCGUACAUUCUCCUCACACGUAAAGAACCAACGGACAGGGCCGGGCCGGCCGGCCCUGGCAUCCUAGAGGCCCUUGUGCGAGCUUCGUAUAAUGGGCCCUUAUAAUUGACUCAAUUUUUCUUUCAGUAAAGGACGUAGCACCGUUUUUAGAUUCAAUUAAUUGAUUUACAUGUUAGCUCCUUUUACUUUUCUCACAACUUGAUGAUAAUUGCAUUUUUGAAACAUUCUUACAAAAAAAAGGAGAGAGCACCCGAGUUCUUGAAUCUUGGUUUUGGAGUAAAUUAGAAGAAAUUCUACGCUCCAUCUAUCCAAUAAUCAAAGUUCAUGCAACGACACAACCUGCUGAAUUUACAUGACUACAAUUUGUGCAAAAAAAAGAGGAAUCGAGUAGGUUAAACAUCAGCAAUGGUUCAUCUCAUGAAUUUGACUAUUAUGUCAACUGAUCAUAACAGAAAUAAGUAGACAAAGAUCAAGGAAUUAUGAUCUAAAAAUUACCUGAAUCAGCAAAGCCCUUUGUUGCUUCGCUUCAACAAUGCCUGGACUUCACGUCUGCAUCGCUUGCCCUCACACACUGACCACAUCUAACUGACAAUGGACGGCCAUGCUGCUCUCGCGUUCUUCCCAGGGGCCCAGGACCAGAGUGUGUCGCCGGCUGGCCUCCAUCCGUCGGGUUUCUUGGGGCUGUUUAUAUAUAUGAGAAAACAGUAUAGUUUUCCCCCUCAAAUCCACAUUGAUGGAUCCAUAACCCCCUGAACUCCAAUACCAUAUAAUUUACCCCUUUAAAUUGUCAAGACCGGAUAAAUCAAGCCCCAUAGUGGUUUUUUCUUUUCUUUUCUUUUCUUUUCUUUUGAGAAUCAUGAGCAGAGGCCAAAUAGGACCCGCCUUCCCUCCGCCCCCGUCAGCGCUAGCUUUGGUUCCCACUCGCGUCAGAGACCGUAAACCUACCCACCCACCCACCCCCUUUUUUUUGAUGGUAGUGCGGUGCGCGCUUGGGAGUUGGGAGCCGCCAGGCCCGGGCCCACCCGUCGGCCAACGCUAUUCUUCUAUUUAAGCAGGCGCGAGGGGGGUUGCAGAGGGGUAGGUGGUCGCUCUCGCAUCGCCCUUGCUCUAGACCCACGCAGAUCUCAUCCAAGGCAGGCGCAGGUCAGGCAAUUCCCCUCUCCCCCUCCCCCGAAUCUCCUCCCCCAUCGUUUGCUUCUUUGCUUGAGCCCCGCCCCCGCAGCCCGGUCCCGGUCCCGGUCGAGGUUUCCGGCGGGGCGGGCGGAAGAUCCGAGGCGAUACCGGCGAGGUGUAGCUAGUUCUAGGCAGAUGGGUCCACGAGUUUCCUGGUUUACGCCUCAGAUUAGAUCCACGGGAUGGGGUGGGACUUUGGGAGGGAGCAGUCCAGUUGACCAACUAGUGGCGUGGCAGGGAAUCCGGCGGCGCUGAUUGCGUCCCAAGUCUGCUCAAACACUAGAUUAGAUUGUACCACGAGCCAGCGCUAGUUGAUUUCCUCGGCAGUUCGUGUGCCGGACGGACGUACAGCCAGCCAACACUAGUUGCCCUGCGCUUCUACCCGUAUGUACCGUAUGGCCAAGGUUGUGUGCCGUGGAUCAUCAGGUGUUGGUAGUGAUAGCCGUGGUCGAGGAUGCAAGACAGCCUGUUUACUCUCACGCCAUAACUCUGAUUCUUUCUUUUUUGUUAUAUAUAUAUAUAUAUAUUUUGUAUGGUCGAUGAUGCUGAAACCAUGCCGUCUGAUGCUGGAUGGUAGCUGCGCUGUGUUUUGUGAAUGUUGCUAGUGCUCCUGAGCAGCCCCGACUGCAGAUUAUGUUUCAGCAUACUGUCGGUUUCUUGAGUCAUCUUAAGCAACAAUCCAUGUGCGUCGCUCAAUCACGCGGGCGGGUGCUGCUGUUCGAUUCUGAUCUUCUGCUGCCUCAACUAUGUUGCUCUACACCAUGAUACAAUUAGCUGCAAGUUGAUUACGGAUUUAAUCUGUCAUCUCAAUCCCAUGCCGUGCUGUCCGCCCUGUCGCAUCUAUCCUGAGGACAUCGCGUCAAUUCUGAUUGACGUUGUAACCUCAUAUUCAGUUAUUCACUGGUCGCUUUCUGGAUUAUUAAUUUCCUUCAACUUUUGUUCGCUGCAAACAAUUGUUCGGAAUGAAUCUUGUUCUUGCGUCUAGUUCAUAUGCAUCAUCAUUUGUUCUGUAAAGCCAGACUUUUAACCUAUCGAGUCAGAUUUGCAUAAAUUACUUGACACUGUUCUCUUCUGUGCGUGACGUGUUUGCUGCAUCUCUUUUCAGGUACAAGAUGGCUCUCACCAGAAUUGGUCUUGCCGGCCUCGCCGUCAUGGGCCAGAACCUUGCCCUCAACAUUGCAGAGAAAGGGUUCCCCAUCUCUGUCUACAACAGGACCACCUCCAAGGUCGAUGAGACUGUUCAGCGCGCCAAGCUAGAAGGAAACCUUCCUCUCUACGGUUUCCAUGACCCUGCAUCCUUCGUCAACUCCAUUCAGAAACCACGUGUCGUCAUCAUGCUUGUCAAGGCCGGUGCUCCUGUUGACCAGACCAUCGCAACGCUCGCAGCACACCUGGAGCAGGGCGACUGCAUCGUUGAUGGAGGAAACGAGUGGUACGAGAACACGGAAAGGAGGGAGAAGGCGAUGGAGGAGCGUGGACUCCUCUACCUCGGGAUGGGUGUUUCCGGAGGAGAGGAGGGUGCCCGCCAUGGCCCCUCCAUGAUGCCUGGAGGCUCAUUGGAGGCAUACCAGUACAUUGAAGACAUUCUUCUCAAGGUGUCUGCUCAGGUCCCUGACAGCGGCCCGUGCGUCACAUACAUUGGGAAGGGUGGAUCCGGAAACUUUGUCAAGAUGGUUCACAAUGGCAUUGAGUACGGUGACAUGCAACUCAUUGCUGAGGCGUACGACGUUCUCAAGUCGGUUGGGAAGCUCACAAACGGUGAGCUGCAGCAGGUUUUCGCGGAGUGGAACAAGGGUGAACUCCUCAGUUUCUUGGUUGAGAUCACUGCUGAUAUCUUCAGCAUCAAGGAUGACCAGGGUGAGGGCUACUUGGUCGACAAGGUCCUGGACAAGACCGGGAUGAAGGGAACCGGGAAGUGGACAGUGCAGCAAGCUGCUGAGCUCUCUGUGGCUGCUCCUACCAUUGAGGCGUCCUUGGAUUCCAGGUUCCUCAGCGGGCUGAAGGAUGAGCGUGUCGCGGCUUCCAAGAUCUUCCAGGGUGACUACUCCAGUGGUGAAACUGUCGACAAGGCACAGCUGAUCGAGGAUGUGAGGAAGGCCCUCUACGCCUCCAAGAUCUGCAGCUACGCCCAAGGCAUGAACAUCAUCAAGGCCAAGAGCACGGAGAAGGGAUGGGGCCUCAAUCUCGGCGAGCUGGCCAGGAUCUGGAAGGGCGGGUGCAUCAUCCGCGCCAGCUUCCUGGACCGCAUCAAGAAGGCGUAUGACAGGAACGGUGAGCUCGCCAACCUUCUCAUCGACCCCGAGUUCGCGCAGGAGAUCAUGGACAGGCAAGCUGCAUGGAGGAGGGUUGUCUGCCUCGCCAUCAACAACGGCGUCAGCACCCCUGGCAUGUCCGCGAGUCUGGCCUACUUCGACUCCUACCGGAGGGACAGGCUCCCUGCCAACCUCGUCCAGGCCCAGAGGGACUACUUCGGGGCGCACACCUACGAGAGGGUUGACAUGCCCGGCUCCUUCCACACCGAGUGGUACAAGAUUGCCAACUCAAAGAUCUAAGAUGCUGCUGCUGCUCUACCAAGAGACGGUCCAUCAGGUUUCGUCUUUCCGGUAUCCUUUGUUGCUGCCAGUCAUGAGUCCUUUUCCUGUAGGGGAGGAACCGCCGUUUAAUUUUUAUUAUUUGAGUAACGAGUCCUGUAUUUAUUUUCUACAAGGAGAUCACAUAUUCUCUCCAGUCUCCGCUACUUCCAUGUGAUUGAUCAACCCUGGAGGGAAGACAUUGCCAUUCUGAAUUAGUUUGAAUAAAAUGUGUUUUUACCUACCUGUGUUUGAUAGCCAGUGUUCCUGCUUUCUCAAGGCUGCUUUACUUGUUGCUUGUUUGUUGUGUCAUAUGAUUCUCACAAAAUUUUGUUGCUAUCUCGUGUCUAUGGUAGCAUGUGACAGUCCUUUCCUUUUUGUUUGGAAGAUAGGCCAUGUUUGCCUACCCUGUUUAUGGUUUUUUUGGGUACUGGAUCAGGUAUGGUACAGUUCUUGUGUUACAUAGUUGAGUUGUGACACUGUCAAAAGAAAGUUCCAACUGUGAACAUAAGUAAUCAUGAAAGGUGUGGUACUACUGGCCUCUAUGUAGUUCAAAGAUGAGUCAGUUUUGUCGGAAGUUUGUAAGAAAUCAGCUCAUUUCGAUAAAAUAUUACAUUGAGUUUCAUCUGAGAUCGACCCAUUUAUAUUAUGAGGCCCUGUUUGUUUGGGCUUUUGCUUCCGCUUUUGCAGCUUUGUCACUUUGACCAAAAAGCUAUAAAAGCUCCUAAAUAGGUGCUUCAAAAACCAUAAAAGCUCCAAAAGCACCCAUUUAGAAGCUUUUAUAACUUUUUGGCCAAAAUGAAAAAGCUGCAAAAGCAAAAGCUCAAACAAACAGGGCCUGAACCAAUUAACAUCCCUCAUCCAUUUAUAUUCUGAACCAACUUCCAUCCCGCAUCCUGUAGAUGCUGGACUCAACUGUCUGUACUUGAUUGCCAAUCAUCAGCGCUUAGUCUGACUAGGGAGUCUCCUGGUGCGUGUCGUGCAAAGACAGCUCUUCUUUGCAGUGCGUAAACCGAGUUUGCUACUCUGCUUCCGGUAUUGUUUCCUACUACUCCCUCCGUCCGGGAAAAGUUGUCCGCGACUUAGUUCAACUCUAAUUUUGCAAAAAACCUCUUCUACGUCGUAAACUGUUGCAAAUCAGCCCCCCCUCAGCUUCUUCCUCCUUCCUCCGUCGCCCGAUCCAUCCACCAAGGAGCCCGACCCCGACUGCAGCUGCUCCUCCAAGGCGACCACCUCGACGGGCGCCUCCUCCUCGUCGCCCUCCUCGCCGGCGCAGGUUCCUCGUGCCUGCGGCAACCCCAGCCGCCGCUCCCCUCUCCCUGACUUCCGCAGGCAGGGCCACGCGGGUCUUCCCAGGUGGCGGGACCUGUUGCUGCCGCUGCCAUCCGUCCGCCACCUGCCGCUGCCGUCGCCCGCCACCUACUGCUGCCGCUGCAGCCCGCCCGAUCGAGUCCGCGCGGACCUGUUGCUGCUGUUGGCGACUGCAUCUGCUGCUGAUGUCGGCGACUGCAUUGGCUGCAGGUACUUCCUGAACAAUGGACUGAUUGUGGCUGAUUGAUCUGAACCUGUGUCAACUGCAGUUUCAGUUACAGUGUGAAUUGCAUUAUCAGCACACUUAUGUAAGCAUUGUACUUUGUGAAAUCUUUGCUGUUCUUUGUGAAAUCUUUGCUGUUCCAUCAGAGUACUGUACCUGAAAAUUAGUGAAGUUGAUUUACACCAAGAGUACUCCAAAAUUGUACUGUAAGGAGUUGCUCCUUGUGCUGCUGCUGCUCCUCCUGUUCCACCAUCAAUGGAGUUAAAUGGAUGUAAAAUUGACAGUUCUUGAUUAAAAAAGUGUAUCAAGAGGCCACAAAAAUUGUAAACUUCUCUGAAACAUGAAAAUUUUGGACUGAUAAUGAAUCUGGCCAUGUUUGAGGUGUUUUGACAACUGAAUUUGGCCAUGUUUUGACACUGAAUUUAAAUGAUGUAAUAUGCAUAUUACAAGAAGUUUCAUAAAACAAAUAAAAGUGCUUGUGAGGACAAGCUGUGUUCAAUCAACUUGAUGUUCAGAACCUGUCAUUUUCUAUGUGCUUGCGAGGACAAGCUGUGUUGAUCAGUGCUAGGAUGCUAACACCACAAGAAAGCAUGCAUGCCAUGUUCAGGCUUCUUUUUCUUAGUGCAUAUAGAAGUGGCAACUAAUCACCACAAAAUGGAGUGCAUAGGUUCAGACUUGAAGCAUGCAUUUUCCAUACAUAGGUUCAGACUUGAAGCACGAAAAUGUACUCCUGUAGGUUAGCAGGAAGAGCUUACAGAUGUUCCAUAUGGCAAGGGUGACUUGACGCCAUUACGAAAACCUCGCCGUACAUCCACUCGGCGCCGCACAGCCUCCCUGAGAGCAGUGAGUGAGCGAGUGGCAUCAGUUAGUGAGCUCAAAACCAGUUCAGUCAGUAGCAGUAGCAGGAUGGAGCAGUAGAGUGAGUGUGACAUCACUUGAUGCACUAAUUCAGUCAAAAGCAGAGUGAGAGAGGCAAAUUCGGUAACCUGCAAUGUCCUAGCCCAAUCUAUAUAAAAAAGUGACAUCAAUUUGUGCAAAUCCUAGCAAAAUCUAUAUAAAAAAAUUUGACAGCUUCAGAACAUCCUAGCACAAUCUUUUCAUUAUCUCUGAAUUUCUAAAUAGAGUCUACAUACCGCAAAAAUUUGAGAAAACUACUGAAUUAUUGUUGUUUAGUCAUUGUUUCUACUGUAGUUUUCAGUAUUUUGUACAAACUGAAAACUGAUUGUGUUAGACUAGGAGUACUUGAUUGUGUUAGACUAGGAGUACUUGCUUAAUUCAUCAUGGUUUUCUUUUCACACUAGGAGUACGUGCUCAAAUGAACAAGGAGUACUUUUAAUUAAUUUCAAUUAGCUAGAAUUAUUUGAAUUAGCUAGAUUUAUUCGAAUUAAUUUGGGAUUAUUUGAAUUAGCUAGAUUUAUUUGAAUGAAUUUGGAAUUAUUUGAAAGCCUAAAAAUCAAGCAGAGAGCAGAGCAGUGCAACCUCCUCUGAAUGAAAAUAUCAUGUCACUGGAAAGCCCUAAAAAGCAAGCAGGGAGCAGAGCAGUACAAGAGUUGAUUGAUGUUUCUUCUGUUGAAGUUACCAUGUUUCUGUAAGGAAUGGCCAUCAUGUUCCUCUAGUUACCAAAAUGAACAAGGAGACUUUUAAUCUCUCAGAAGUCAUUGAAGCAUCUUUUAAUAAUUUGUAAGGAACAUACUUUUUGAAGGGAAGAAGAUUGGUUUCAUAUAAAAGGUUUUCCUGAAUAGACUUUUAAGCUCAGGCAGUAGCUCUAGGCAACACUAUAAUACAUAAUUUGGCAGGCCUCAAGUAAGAACUGUAGAACUAUUUUGUCACCAAACUUAAAUAAAAUUUGGCUCCAUAUAAAAUUUAAAUAAAAGAGCACUUUGGCUCCACAUGAUAGGAGUAUGUAGCUCCAUAUGAUAGGAGUAUGUAGUCCAAAUAAUCAUCUUCUUAGUUGAAAGCCUUUAAUUCACGUAGUCCUAAAAUUUCUACACACAGAUUGGACAAGCAAUAUUCCUAAAAUUUCUGCAAUUACAGUAUAUUCGAUCAAUGCAAAUUAAGCACUCAUGAAACAAGUCUAUUUGGUCAAUGCAACUAUGUGGUGCUAGCGCCUUUUGUCUUUGUGGUUGGGCACAGUUUGGCACAAUCUGGUCAUCUGACCAAAAUAAAAGGUGGGCAGAUGUCUUGAGAUGCUGUACCGUAUUUUGAAUUUCUUGAGAUGCUGCAGAUGGUAAUGGUACAUGCUCUUUUAAUUACACCUGUAUUUGAGGAUCCAAACAGCUUUGCCUACGGUUUACACCAGGUCAAAUGGUCAAAAAAAUUCAGUUUGCUGUUCCAUGUAAAUAUUCAGAGUAAUUCACAAUCUUUUCUAACAUCAUAUUUUCUGAAUAUUCAGAGUAAUUCAGUUUGCUGUUGGGAUUACACUGGCAUAUGCACCUUGUUCGAAGACAAGAUUUGCAAAUUCGGUGAACAUUCUAAGUCAAGACUGAACAUUCAGUGUUAAGUGUUAACACAACACUGGCAUAUGCACCUUGUUCGAAGACAUGAUCAGUUUUUAGGAAAGACAAGAUUUACUAAUUCAGUUUUUAGGGAAGACAAGACUGAACAUUUAAACUCUGGAAGCUGGCAUUCAGCAAAGACUGAAUAUACAAAUUCAGUUUUUAGGAAAGACAAGAUUUACUAAUUCGGUGAACACUCAGUCUGAACAUUUCUGAAUCUACACACACCUUGCUCGAAAUUGAUUUGCAGGGCAUCCUGUUGGUUGUCUCCCUUCAUCAACUUUGGGCUGGUCUUCUUCCUGGUGCACACGGUUCAAGCUGGCCCUACUGAACACAGCAAUGCAAAGAGCAUCAAGCAGUAAUAGAGAGCAGAGAAUGGAAACCCAUGAAAGUGCAGAGUUUAAGCUCUAUUCAGCAAAUGAAAGUAGCAGUACGAGGCGCUAGGCUGGCUUAAGUAAACAUUCGACCUCUCUUGACGAACUCAGGGGCUGGCUCGACGGUCUCGACGGGGGUGGGCAGGAGCGCGAGCCUCCGGCACGCUGCAGCGUCGCACACCUCCUCGAGCACCGUGAUCAGCCGGCCCGUAGUGGAGGCGAGCGCGAGAUGACGGCGUUGGCGUCGACGAGGGCCACGGCCAGGCCACUCGAGUUGGCGCAGCUGGACACGAUUCGGCUCACCGCCUGCGCGGACGAUUCCUUGGCCACCGUCUCUCGCCGCGUCGCGGUCGCGCCCCACGCCACGGGGGCUGGGGCGGGGGUGGGAAGGCCGCGUCGCAGCCCGUCGGGCCGAGGGCCGGCCAUGCUUCUUCCAUCAACGCUAGGAGGGAGGGGGUGGCCGCGAGCAGGAGACGCGGCGGGUGGAAGAUGAAACAAUUUUUUGGGUGAAAGAGGGAAGAUUCGGGAGGCAGGCAAGGGAGGCAGGGGAAGGGAGCGGCGGAGGAGGCAGCUGCGGCGGCGGCGGAGGACGCGCGGCAGAGCAGGGGAGUAGCGCGAAGCAGGGGAUCUCCGGCGUUCAUGCGCCCGACACAGCGGCGGAGUGUCGACCGGAGAAGACGAGGAGUGCCGGUUGUGUCGGAAAUUAGCUGAGGGUGUUUUUGUAAAAUGAUCACGGGGACAACUUUUCCCGGACGAAGGGAGUACUUUAUUGGCACUAUGGUGCAUCUUGCAGGCAUUUGACCGCACCUCACCCGCCUCUUCGCCGCCGCUGAUAUUUUGUAAGAUUUGUGGCCAUGAAACUGAAGAUGGUCACCAUGGCAUUGUCAUUGUUCGUUGCCCUCAGAGAUCCAAUGCGCAAAGUAUGGGACUUACCUUGGGUUCGUAGGAUCGGAUUUGCUGUUGGUGCCACUAUCUUCCAUGGUGAAGAUGCAAGAGACAUAAUAGUACCCUACUUCUGUUAUAAUAAUUGAUGUAAGGAACAUCCAAGAGAAGAAUAUCUGUGGGAGUUGGCUUCCCGCUUCUAGGCCCCCCCUCCCCCCCGCCGCCGACGGCUCCCCUGCACAGAGCCGCCGCCGCAGUGGCCGGAGCCCGCCGUCGCCGCCAGUCCCUUCCCCUUCCCGUUCCCCUUCUCCUUCCUCCCUCCCUUCCCCGUACCCCCGCGUCGCCUCCCUGAGCGAGGCGACCGGGGGCCCUUCUGUUGUACGGUGGAACCCUAGAUGGAGAUCUUUCACUUAAUGGAGGGGAAAUCCCAAGAACAAGAAGAACACAAAUGGAAAAACAAGAGGAACACUCAAAUUGACUUGACCCAAUCACACAUGUGCUAGAUCCAAUCACACAAAGAGAGAUACAAAGGUCCAAAUCCAACAUAAGAAGAUACAAGAGGUAACUAGUUCAUUCCAAUCCUAUGAGGAAAGAGGUCUUGAUGAUCCUAUGAUGGGGAUCCUUCUCCAAGAGGAGGCCUUGAUAUCCAUAAGAGGAUCUUCUCCCUUAGGAGGUCAUGAUCUCCAAGAGGAGGAAGAUGAGCAAAGCUCUCUCAAUAUCUCACAUAUACUUUGCUACCCUCUAGAACAAGCUAGGUGAGGGGUACUUAUGGUCUAAGGACGAAAUGGGGGAAAAACGGGGGUACAUGGGUCAUUUGACCCUAAGUGCACGCAGGCACAUUUCGGGAUGUCCGGGCACCCGGUGUAAAUGUCCGGGCACCCGGGGAUGCUUGGGAGGAGGAGGCCGGGCACCCGGGGCUAAGGGGCCGGCACCUGGGGAUGCUUGGGAGGAGGAGGCCAGGCACCCAGGGCUAAGGGGCCGGCACCCGGGGUGCGCCCAGGGGGGUUCCGGGCACCCGGGGGGUGAAGGCCCGGGCACCCGGGAAGGUCAGAGGCAUCCCGCCCCACUUGGUCGGCCGGUGCGGGCACCCGGGGGUGUAUGGUGCGGGCACCCGGGGUGUCUAGAGAGCCUCCGGUUUCUCUCGUCUUGGGGUCCCUUCUUAUUCUUCUUGGGGCUCCAUGUGUACUUGGAGAUCCCUUCUUGCUUCUUCAUGGUCUUCUCCUCGAUACCUAGUCACGCACAAAGUCUCCGCUUGAGGUAGAAGCCAUUUCUCAUAUGAAAUCAAAGGGAGCUCGAAGAGGAAAGAGGUAACCUCGGUUUCAAUAGUACGUGCAUGGGUUGUUGUCAUCGGUCCACUUAACGUUCGUGGUGGUAAUGGAAUGCACAUGGGGAUGACCGUGGGAUGCUCCGCAUCAUCUCCUCUCCCUUGGGAAAGAUCCAUCUUCGGAUCAAAAACCAAAUCACCAUGGGAAAGAGAGGGCGUCGACGUGUAGAAGUGGACGAUCACCAAGCACUUAUCAAGUUGAAGCUCGAAAUGGGCACUCUCCAAUGUUGCAACGUCUUGUGAUUCCUUCAAAAGGAGCAAGGACAACAAAUACUUGGAAAAACGAAUGUGGGCGUUAGUGCCAAACCAAGCAUUCAAGUGGUGAUUCAUCCAACAAGUGUCGUCAUCAAGCAUAGCAUAUGGUUUGACAAAGAAGUGUGACAUGGCAUGUAAUAAACACAUAAAUUGAGCACAAGUAAAAGGAUCAUGGAAACAAUCAUGCAAAGGCGAGGUAAAGGUGCUAAUAUGUGUGACAAGAGAACAAGCAUCUACCGCAAUGUCAUAGCAAGCAUGCACAAGGUGCUCAAUGAACGGUCUAUGGUAGGCAUAAGAGUCAUUCACAACACCGAGUGAAAUGAAAUGUCUAAACACAUGGGGCAAGUGCAAGACAAUCCAAGCAUAACAUGCAUAUGGUGUGGUGAAGAUAGUGUGGCUCUCAACACAAAUGAGAUAGCAAUUGUGCAGCAUGUGUGAGGCAAUCAAGUCGUGCAAGUGCGAAGAUGCAACAUACUAUAGGUAAUCAUGGCAUGUCAUGGUUGCAAGUAGUAGGCAUAGGAAAUGCACAUGGCAUAUCGCAAGCACGAACACAAAACAAGAUCAAGGUAUCAUCAUAGGCAUUGGGCACAAAGCAAACAUGUCAAUAACAAGCAAUAUCUCCACCAAGCUUGCAAAUACACAUACAAGUUGUAGAAUCAAUCAUCAUGUGUAAUACAAAGUAUGGGUCACAAAUGCAUGGUAAAGGCAUAGGAAUAAGCAUGUUGUGCAAAGUGAACAUGGCAAGAUGGGCAUAGAGUAUGUAGUGGACAAUAACCCAUAACCAUGAGGGCCAUGUAGAAGAAAUGCGUGAAGUCAUUGUGUGGAGGGAGCGGUAGUAAGGAUACUCCAUGGAAUCCCAAAUCAUUGUUGCUCUCAAGAGCUCGUUUCUUCAACUCAUGGCAUUGUGAGGUUGACGAGUAUCCGUGAGUACCUACACAAAACAAAGGCAAAGGGAAAAUUGUCUGUGCGUGGUAUAUGUGCACAUCAUCCAUUAUGAUGCAUACGUACAUGUGUUCGUUAGCACAAAAUAUCCAAUGCGGUGGUGUGAUGGUGGGAGUGGAUUUUUCACCGAGCUUGGACUGUGGUAACAAGUGAAUCAACGGCUAAAUGUGAAAUCUUGAGAGACAUUCUCUGCUUCCCGGUUCAUAGGACCACUGGGUUUGUGUCCAUCAAUUUUUUUGAAAGUUCUGAACGUAAUUUAUGUGGUACAGUAUCUAGAAGUUGAUUUGUUUCUCGAUAAACUUCGCCAAACGUGGAAGGACCUAUUUUGUUAUCGUAGAAAUCAGAGUUUCUUUUGUUCCCUUACUAUAAGCGUGGACACACUUACAAAGUGUUGACUUAAACACAAAAUUCAUAGGCCUUACAAACAUCGGUUUUGCCCGGUUUUUGUGCUGACUCACCCCGGUUUUGAUCAUGUUGGUUCAAAUUCGCAUAAUUAUUUCAAACCCAUGAACUUGUUUGAAAUUCGCGUAAUUUUUCAAACCAACUUACUUUUUACAAGUUCACAUAAUUUUUCAAAAAUCGCUCACUUUUUCCAAAUCCGUGUAGUUUCUCAAAUCCGCAUACUUUUUCCAAGUUCACGUAUUUUUUUUCUGGUUCAGGUACUUUUUUCAAAUUCGUGAACUUUUUAAAAUUCCAGUUACUUUUUCCCUAUUCGUGGACUCCUCUACCUCGGGAUGGGUGUUUCCGGAGGUGAGGAGGGUGCCCGCCAUGGCCCCUCCAUGACUCCUCGAGGCCCGUCUCAUCUUCAUCGCCAGCCCCACCUCCUCGCAUGACAGCGGAGGAGGAGGCCCGUCUCAUGGCACGUGUGCUAGAGGACUCCAUGCACACGCACAACGAGCGCCAAUGGGAGGGCCUCGAGGAGAUGACGACCCUCUCCGCGGCCGGCGACGUCGCCAUCCCCGAGCUGGAGAUGGUGCCGAAGGAGGAGGUGGUGGAGGAGCCGCCGGUGGCCGCGUUCCACCCGGGCCUGUGGGCCAGGGGUGGAGUUGGUCAUGCACCGCAGAGCAGAUGGCGGCCGCCGUGGGGGGCAUGAAGUGGUGCCCCACGCCGCCGCGGUCACUGGAGCGGGACGCCUCGCCACGGGAGGAGGUGGUGCAGGCACCUGCCACCUUCCAGCCCGCCGCCCCCGUGCACCACGGACCGCCGGCCCACCUGUGGACGCCGCCGGACUACGUCGACCUCGUCAGCGACGACGACGACACCGGCGGCCACUGAAGACGGCGAUGGCCACAACAUCGAUGGGCGCGGCAGGAGCGCGCGGGCAGCAUUUUUUAUUUUAUUUUUAUGUUAAUUAUGGAACUGGGCCGUUUAAGUGGACCGUGAAACUGGGCCGUUUUGUGGCCGUGACCCCUAAAUAUGUUUUAAGUUUUUUUAACUGCGUUUAUUUACCUUUUUAGGUAGUUUAUUUAAGUUUUUUUGUUUUCUUUAAUCACGUCCACCCCGGACAUGAUUUGGUGUGCUGCCGCGCGUUGGGCGCACCCACGACCCUGUUGGAAAUAUGCCCUAGAGGCAAUAAUAAAAGUAUUAUUAUUAUAUUUCCUAGUUCAUGGUAAUUGUCUUUAUUCAUGCUAUAAUUGUGUUAUCCGGAAAUCGUCAUACACGUGUGAAUAACAGACACCAACAUGUCCCUGGUAAGCCUCUAGUUGACUAGCUCGUUGAUCAACAGAUAGUCAUGGUUUCCUGACUAUGGACAUUGGAUGUCAUUGAUAACGAGAUCACAUCAUUAGGAGAAUGAUGUGAUGGACAAGACCCAAUCCUAAACAUAGCACAAGAUCGUAUAGUUCGUUUGCUAGAGUUUUUCCAAUGUCAAGUAUCCUUUCCUUAGACCAUGAGAUCGUGUAACUCCCGGAUGCCGUAGGAGUGCUUUGGGUGUACCAAACGUCACAACGUAACUGGGUGACUAUAAAGGUAUACUACGGGUAUCUCCGAAAGUGUCUGUUGGGUUGACACGGAUCAAGACUGGGAUUUGUCACUCCGUAUGACGGAGAGGUAUCACUGGGCCCACUCGGUAAUGCAUCAUCAUUAUGAGCUCAUAGUGACCAAGUGUCUAGUCACGGGAUCAUGCAUUACGGUACGAGUAAAGUGACUUGCCGGUAACGAGAUUGAACAAGGUAUUGGGAUACCGACGAUCGAAUCUCGGGCAAGUAACAUGCCGAUUGACAAAGGGAAUUGAAUACGGGGUUGCUUGAAUCCUCGACAUCGUGGUUCAUCCGAUGAGAUCAUCGAGGAGCAUGUGGGAGCCAACAUGGGUAUCCAGAUCCCGCUGUUGGUUAUUGACCGGAGAGUCAUCUCGGUCAUGUCUGCAUGUCUCCCGAACCCGUAGGGUCUACACACUUAAGGUUCGGUGAUGCUAGGGUUGUGAAGAUAUGUAUAUGCAGUAACCCGAAUGUUGUUCGGAGUCCCGGAUGAGAUCCCGGACGUCACGAGGAGUUUCGGAAUAGUCUGGAGGUGAAGAAUUAUAUAUAGGAAGUGCUGUUUCGGCCAUCGGGACAAGUUUCGGGGUCACCGGUAUUGUACCGGGACCACCGGAAGGGUCCCGGGGGUCCACCGAAAGGGUCCCGGGGGUCCACCGGGUGGGGCCACCCAUCCCGGAGGGCCCCAUGGGCCAAAGUGGGGAGGGGAACCAGCCCAUAGUGGGCUGGUGCGCCCCCCUAGGCCCACCCCAUGCGCCUAGGGUUGGAACCCUAGGGGUGGGGGGCGCCCCACCUUGCCUUGGGGGCCACUCCAGCCCUGGCCGCCGCCCCCCCUAGGAGAUCUCAUCUCCUAGGGCCGGCGCCCCCCUAGGGGAGCCUAUAUAUAUGAGGGGGAGGGAGGGGGCAGCCGCACCUUGAGCCCUGGCGCCUCCCUCUCCCCUGCUACACCUCUCUCUCUCUCGUAGUAUAAGGCGAAGCCCUGCUACUGUGACGCCCUGCAUCCACCACCACGCCGUCGUGCUGCUGGAUCUUCAUCAACUUCUCCUUCCCCCUUGCUGGAUCAAGAAGGAGGAGACGUCACGCUGACUGUACGUGUGUUGAACGCGGAGGUGCCGUCCGUUCGGCGCUAGGAUCUCCGGUGAUUUGGAUCACGUUGUGUACGACUUCCUCAUCCCCGUUCUUUGAACGCUUCCGCGCGUGAUCUACAAAGGUAUGUAGAUGCAAUCCUAUCACUCGUUGCUAGAUGAACUCAUAGAUGGAUCUUGGUGAAACCGUAGGAAAUUUUUUGUUUUCUGCAACGUUCCCCAACAGUGGCAUCAUGAGCUAGGUCUAUGCGUAGUUCUUCUUGCGCGAGUAGAACACAAUUUGUUGUGGGCGUAGAUGUUGUCAACUUUCUUGCCGCUACUAGUCUUAUCUUGCUUCAACGGUAUUGUGGGAUGAAGCGGCCCGGACCAACCUUACACGUACGCUUACGUGAGACUGGUUCCACCGACUAACAUGCACUAGUUGCAUAAGGUGGCUGGCGGGUGUCUGUCUCUCCUACUUUAGUUGGAGCAUAUUCGAUGAAAAGGGUCCUUAUGAAGGGUAAAUAGAAGUUGACAAAUCACGUUGUGGCUUUCACAUAGGUAAGAAAACGUUCUUGCUAGAACCCUAAUGCAGCCACGUAAAACUUGCAACAACAAUUAGAGGACGUCUAACUUGUUUUUGCAGCAAGUGCUUUGUGAUAUGAUAUGGCCAAAGUUGUGAUGAAUGAUGAAUGAUAUAUAUGUGAUGUAUGAGAUGUUCAUGCUAUUGUAAUAGGAAUCACGACUUGCAUGUCGAUGAGUAUGACAACCGGCAGGAGCCAUAGGAGUUGUCUUUAUUUUUUUAUAUGACCUGCGUGUCAUUGAGAAACGUCAUGUAAAUUACUUUACUUUAUUGCUAAACACGUUAGCCAUAGUAGUAGAAGUAAUAGUUGGCGAGCAACUUCAUGGAGACACGAUGAUGGAGAUCAUGGUGUCAUGCCGGUGACAAGAUGAUCAUGGAGCCCCAAGAUGGAGAUCAAAGGAGCCAUGUGAUAUUGGCCAUAUCAUGUCACUAUUAUUAUUUGAUUGCAUGUGAUGUUUAUCAUGUUUUGCAUCUUGUUUACUUAGAACGACGGUAGUAAAUAAGAUGAUCCCUCAUAAUAAUUUCAAGAAAGUGUUCCCCCUAACUGUGCACCGUUGCGACAGUUCGUUGUUUCGAAGCACCACGUGAUGAUCGGGUGUGAUAGAUUCUAACGUUCACAUACAACGGGUGUAAGACAGAUUUACACAUGCAAACACUUAGGUUGACUUGACGAGCCUAGCAUGUACAAACAUGGCCUCGGAACACAGAAGACCGAAAGGUCGAGCAUGAGUCAUAUAGAAGAUACGAUCAACAUGAAGAUGUUCACCGACGUUGACUAGUUCGUCUCACGUGAUGAUCGGACACGGCCUAGUUGACUCGGAUCAUGUUAUACUUAGAUGACUAGAAGAGGGAUGUCUAUCUAAGUGGGAGUUCAUUGAAUAAUUUGAUUAGAUGAACUUAAUUAUCAUGAACUUAGUCUAAAAUCUUUACAAUAUGUCUUGUAGAUCAAAUGGCCAAUGUAGUCCUCAACUUCAAUGCGUUCCUAGAGAAAACCAAGCUGAAAGACGAUGGCAGCAACUACACGGACUGGGUCCGGAACCUUAGGAUCAUCCUCAUAGCUGCCAAGAAAGAAUAUGUCCUACAAGCACCGCUAGGUGACGCACCCGUCCCACAGAACCAAGAUGUUAUGAACGCUUGGCAGACACUGUUGAUGACUACUCCCUCGUUCAGUGCGGCAUGCUUUACAACUUAGAGCCGGGGCUCCAAAAGCGUUUUGAGAGACAUGGAGCAUAUGAGAUGUUCGAAGAGCUGAAAAUGGUUUUUCAAGCUCAUGCCCGGGUCGAGAGAUAUGAAGUCUCUGACAAGCUCUUCAGCUGUAAGAUGGAGGAAAAUAGUUCUGUCAGUGAGCACAUACUCACUAUGUCUGGGUUACAUAACCGCUUGACUCAGCUGGGAGUUAAUCUCCCGGAUGAUGCGGUCAUUGACAGAAUCCUCCAGUCGCUUCCACCAAGCUACAAGAGCUUUGUGAUGAACUUCAAUAUGCAGGGGAUGGAAAAGACCAUUCCUGAGUUAUUUUCAAUGCUGAAAUCAGCAGAGGUAGAAGUCAAGAAGGAACAUCAAGUGUUGAUUGUGAAUAAAACCGCUAAGUUCAAGAAGGGCAAGGGUAAAAAGAACUUCAAGAAGGACGUCAAGGGAGUUGCCGCGCCCGGUAAGCAAGCUACCGGGAAGAAGCCAAAGAAUGGACCCAAGCCCGAGACUGGGUGCUUUUAUUGCAAGGGAAGUGGUCACUGGAAGCGGAACUGCCCCAAAUACUUAGCGGACAAGAAGGCCGGCAAAACGAAAGGUAUAUGUGAUAUACAUGUAAUUGAUGUGUACCUUACCAGUACUCAUAGUAGCUCUUGGGUAUUUGAUACCGGUGCAGUUGCUCACAUUUGUAACUCAAAGCAGGAGCUGCGGAAUAAGCGGAGACUGGCGAAGGACGAGGUGACGAUGCGCGUCGGGAAUGGUUCCAAGGUCGAUGUGAUCGCCGUCGGCAUGCUGCCUCUUCAUUUACCUACAGGAUUAGUUUUAAACCUCAAUAAUUGUUAUUUAGUACCGAGUUUGAGCAUGAACAUUGUAUCAGGAUCUCGUUUGAUACGAGAUGGCUACUCAUUUAAAUCCGAGAAUAAUGGUUGUUCUAUUUAUAUGAGAGAUAUGUUUUAUGGUCAUGCUCCGAUGGUGAAUGGUUUAUUCUUAAUGAAUCUCGAGCAUAAUGCUACACAUGUUCAUAGUGUGAGUACCAAAAGAUGUAAGGUUGAUAAUGAUAGUCCCACAUACUUGUGGCACUGCCGCCUUGGUCACAUAGGUGUCAAACGCAUGAAGAAGCUCCAUGCAGAUGGACUUUUAGAGUCUCUUGAUUAUGAAUCAUUUGACACGUGCGAACCAUGCCUCAUGGGUAAACUGACCAAGACUCCGUUCUAAGGAACAAUGGAGCGAGCAACCAACUUAUUGGAAAUCAUACAUACUGAUGUGUGCGGUCCAAUGAGCGUUGAGGCUCGCGGUGGCUAUCGUUAUGUUCUCACCCUCACUGAUGACUUGAGUAGAUAUGGGUAUGUCUACUUAAUGAAACACAGGUCUGAAACCUUUGAAAAGUUCAAGGAAUUUCAGAGUGAGGUUGAGAAUCAACGUGACAGAAAAAUCAGGUUCCUACGAUCAGAUCGUGGAGGAGAAUACUUGAGUCACGAAUUUGGCACACAUUUAAGAAAAUGUGGAAUAGUUUCACAACUCACGCCGCCUGGAACACCUCAGCGUAAUGGUGUGUCCGAACGUCGUAAUCGCACUCUAUUAGAUAUGGUGCGAUCUAUGAUGUCUCUUACCGAUUUACCGCUAUCUUUUUGGGUAUAUGCUUUAGAGACUGCCGCAUUCACUUUAAAUAGGGCUCCGUCGAAAUCCGUUGAGACGACACCGUAUGAAUUAUGGUUUGGGAAGAAACCUAAGUUGUCGUUUCUAAAAGUUUGGGGAUGCGACACUUAUGUCAAGAAACUUCAACCUGAAAAGCUCGAACCCAAGUCGAAAAAAUGCGUCUUCAUAGGAUACCCUAAAGAAACUAUUGGGUAUACCUUCUACCUCAGAUCCGAUGGCAAGAUCUUUGUUGCCAAGAAUGGAUCCUUUCUGGAGAAAGAGUUUCUCUCGAAAGAAGUAAGUGGGAGGAAAGUAGAACUUGAUGAAGUAUUACCUCUUGAACCGGAAAAGGGCGCAACUCAAGAAAAUGUUCCUGAGGUGCCUGCACCGACUAGAGAGGAAGUUAAUGAUGGUGAUCAAGAUACUUCUGAUCAAGCUCCUACUGAAAUUCGUAGGUCCACAAGGACACGUUCCAUACCAGAGUGGUACGGCAACCCUGUCUUGGAAAUCAUGUUGUUAGACAACGGUGAACCUUCGAACUAUGAAGAAGCGAUGGCGGGCCCGGAUUCCGACAAAUGGCUGGAAGCCAUGAAAUCCGAGAUAGGAUCCAUGUAUAAAAACGAAGUAUGGACUUUGACUGACUUGCCCGAUGAUCGACGAGCCAUAGAAAAUAAAUGGAUCUUUAAGAAGAAGACAGACGUGGAUGGUAAUGUGACCAUCCAUAAAGCUCGGCUUGUCGCUAAGGGUUAUCGACAAGUUCAAGGGGUUGACUACGAUGAGACUUUCUCACCGGUAGCGAAGCUGAAGUCCGUCCGAAUUAUGUUAGCAAUUGCCGCAUACUAUGAUUAUGAGAUAUGGCAAAUGGACGUCAAAACGGCAUUCCUUAAUGGUUUCCUUAAGGAAGAAUUGUAUAUGAUGCAGCCGGAAGGUUUUGUCGAUCCUGAGAAUGCUGACAAGGUGUGCAAGCUCCAACGCUCGAUUUAUGGGCUGGUGCAAGCAUCUCGGAGUUGGAACAUUCGCUUUGAUGAGAUGAUCAAAGCGUUUGGGUUUACACAGACUUAUGGAGAAGCCUUCGUUUACAAGAAAGUGAGUGGGAGCUCUGUAGCAUUUCUCAUAUUAUAUGUAGAUGACAUACUUUUGAUGGGAAAUGAUAUAGAACUCUUGGACAGCAUUAAGGCCUACUUGAAUAAGAGUUUUUCAAUGAAGGACCUUGGAGAAGCUGCUUAUAUAUUAGGCAUCAAGAUCUAUAGAGAUAGAUCGAGACGCCUCAUAGGUCUUUCACAAAGCACAUACCUUGAUAAGAUAUUGAAGAAGUUCAAUAUGGAUCAAUCUAAGAAGGGGUUCUUGCCUGUGUUACAAGGUAUGAAAUUGAGCUCAGCUCAAUGUCCAACCACGGCAGAAGAUAUAGAAGAGAUGAGUGUCAUCCCCUAUGCCUCAGCCAUAGGUUCUAUUAUGUAUGCCAUGCUGUGUACCAGACCUGAUGUAAACCUUGCUGUAAGUUUGGUAGGAAGGUACCAAAGUAAUCCCGGCAAGGAACACUGGACAGCGGUCAAGAAUAUCCUGAAGUACCUGAAAAGGACUAAGGAAAUGUUUCUCGUUUAUGGAGGUGACGAAGAGCUCGUCGUAAAGGGUUACGUCGACGCUAGCUUCGACACAGAUCUGGAUGACUCAAAGUCACAAACCGGAUACAUGUAUAUUUUGAAUGGUGGGGCAGUAAGCUGGUGCAGUUGCAAGCAGAGCGUCGUGGCGGGAUCUACAUGUGAAGCGGAGUACAUGGCAGCCUCGGAGGCAGUGCAUGAAGCAAUUUGGGUGAAAGAGUUCAUCACCGACCUAGGAGUCAUACCCAAUGCGUCGGGGCCAAUCAAACUCUUCUGUGAUAACACUGGAGCCAUUGCACUUGCCAAGGAUCCCAGGUUUCACAAGAAGACAAGGCACAUCAAGUGUCGCUUCAACUCCAUUCGUCAAAAUGUUCAAGAUGGAGACAUAGAGAUUUGUAAAGUGCAUACGGACCUGAAUGUAGCGGAUCCGUUGACUAAACCUCUCCCUAGAGCAAAACAUGAUCAACACCAGAAUUCCAUGGGUGUUCGAUUCAUCACAAUGUAACUAGAGUAUUGACUCUAGUGCAAGUGGGAGACUAUUGGAAAUAUGCCCUAGAGGCAAUAAUAAAAGUAUUAUUAUUAUAUUUCCUAGUUCAUGGUAAUUGUCUUUAUUCAUGCUAUAAUUGUGUUAUCCGGAAAUCGUCAUACACGUGUGAAUAACAGACACCAACAUGUCCCUAGUAAGCCUCUAGUUGACUAGCUCGUUGAUCAACAGAUAGUCAUGGUUUCCUGACUAUGGACAUUGGAUGUCAUUGAUAACGAGAUCACAUCAUUAGGAGAAUGAUGUGAUGGACAAGACCCAAUCCUAAACAUAGCACAAGAUCGUAUAGUUCGUUUGCUAGAGUUUUUCCAAUGUCAAGUAUCCUUUCCUUAGACCAUGAGAUCGUGUAACUCCCGGAUGCCGUAGGAGUGCUUUGGGUGUACCAAACGUCACAACGUAACUGGGUGACUAUAAAGGUAUACUACGGGUAUCUCCGAAAGUGUCUGUUGGGUUGACACGGAUCAAGACUGGGAUUUGUCACUCCGUAUGACGGAGAGGUAUCACUGGGCCCACUCGGUAAUGCAUCAUCAUUAUGAGCUCAUAGUGACCAAGUGUCUGGUCACGGGAUCAUGCAUUACGGUAUGAGUAAAGUGACUUGCCGGUAACGAGAUUGAACAAGGUAUUGGGAUACCGACGAUCGAAUCUAGGGCAAGUAACAUGCCGAUUGACAAAGGGAAUUGAAUACGGGGUUGCUUGAAUCCUCGACAUCGUGGUUCAUCCGAUGAGAUCAUCGAGGAGCAUGUGGGAGCCAACAUGGGUAUCCAGAUCCCGCUGUUGGUUAUUGACCGGAGAGUCAUCUCGGUCAUGUCUGCAUGUCUCCCGAACCCGUAGGGUCUACACACUUAAGGUUCGGUGAUGCUAGGGUUGUGAAGAUAUGUAUAUGCAGUAACCCGAAUGUUGUUCGGAGUCCCGGAUGAGAUCCCGGACGUCACGAGGAGUUUCGGAAUAGUCUGGAGGUGAAGAAUUAUAUAUAGGAAGUGCUGUUUCGGCCAUCGGGACAAGUUUCGGGGUCACCGGUAUUGUACCGGGACCACCGGAAGGGUCCCGGGGGUCCACCGGGUGGGGCCACCCAUCCCGGAGGGCCCCAUGGGCCAAAGUGGGUAGGGGAACCAGCCCAUAGUGGGCUGGUGCGCCCCCUAGGCCCACCCCAUGCGCCUAGGGUUGGAACCCUAGGGGUGGGGGGCGCCCCACCUUGCCUUGGGGGCCACUCCAGCCCUGGCCGCCGCCCCCCUAGGAGAUCUCAUCUCCUAGGGCCGGCGCCCCCCCUAGGGGAGCCUAUAUAUAUGAGGGGGAGGGAGGGGGCAGCCGCACCUUGAGCCCUGGCGCCUCCCUCUCCCCUGCUACACCUCUCUCUCUCUCUCGUAGUAUAAGGCGAAGCCCUGCUACUGUGACGCCCUGCAUCCACCACCACGCCGUCGUGCUGCUGGAUCUUCAUCAACUUCUCCUUCCCCCUUGCUGGAUCAAGAAGGAGGAGACGUCAUGCUGAUCGUACAUGUGUUGAACGCGGAGGUGCCGUCCGUUCGGCGCUAGGAUCUCCGGUGAUUUGGAUCACGUUGUGUACGACUUCCUCAUCCCCGUUCUUUGAACACUUCCGCGCGUGAUCUACAAAGGUAUGUAGAUGCAAUCCUAUCACUCGUUGCUAGAUGAACUCAUAGAUGGAUCUUGGUGAAACCGUAGGAAAAUUUUUGUUUUCUGCAACGUUCCCUAACAGACCCAACCAGACGUCCGUUUAGGGACAAAAUCCGGCCAAACCGGACGUCCGUUUAGGGUCAUGCUGUGGAGUUGGCCUUAUAGGAGUAGUGACAAUCAGACCGUGAACAUCGGCAGACACGUACGUAUGUAGUACAGUUGUUGGCAUAUCUGAAGUCUGCACUAUUCACAGCUAGAUCUGGGUUGGGAAUUGAACCUGGAUUUGAAAUCAAAUCAUGUGGUCCGCUUAGCUUAGAUACGGGAGGCUAAAUUUGAUGUUUUGACCCUUUACUGAAAGUUAUUCGAGAUCUGACCCCAGUUUGUAAAAAUUUCGGGAUCUGACCCUUUUUCUACCGACAGGGUCUAUGGCGGUAGGGUUGCAUAACCUACCGCCAGGGUCUCUGACGGUAGGACUUGCCGGCACCGUCAUGCCCGUUUAAUACGAAAAAGACCCUACCGCCAUAGUAAUUGGCGGUAGGCAAUGCAACCCUACCGCCAAGGUAUUUGGCGGUAUGGUCUUCUAGCCAGAUUUCACACUCCCUGCCAAUCUGAAUAAUCUACAGUAGCCUAGUAACCUAGUAGUCUCAUGCACGAGAGAGAGAGCGCGUAAUUAAAAUUCUACUAGCCUGCAACUUGCCGCUGUUGUGUGUUCGCGCUCCCAUGCACACAGCACUCAAUGCAUGCAGCACAUCCAUGGCAUGCAGCUCAUUCAUUCACCCAUCCCCAUACAUGCACCAUCUAUCUUAUUUUUUAGUAUUGUAAAGUAGCACACUUUAUGGAGCAGUGCAAUGCAGCGCAGCUUUAGCUGCCACGGGCUUUGACAUUUUAUUAGGCUCCUAUCGUCAAGCACCCUGGCGAUAGGGUAUAAUGGGCUACCCCCAAGGAUACUGGCGGUAGAGUAUUUUCCACGUUAGAUGUCCGUUACGGCGCAGUCAAAGCCUACCGCCAGAAUCUCUGGCGGUAGACAGUUAAACCUUACCGCCAGAGACAAUGGCGGUAGGAAAAAGGGUCAGAUCCCGAAAUUUUUACGAACUGGGGUCAAAUCUCAAAUAAGUUUCAGAAAAGGGUCAAAACACGAAAUUUAGCCGAUACGGGAGAGUCUUUUCACGGGUGACGCCGUGCUGACGCCAUCGCAGAGCAGCGGCAAGCCGCACGAGUAGCAGACGCCAAUUGUUUUUUUUCUAUUUUUGAGGAUCAGCAGCAGAGGCCAAAUAGGACCCGCCUUCCCUCUGCCCUCGUCAGCGCAAACUUUGGUUCCCACUCACCAGACGCCGCGUGGGGCAGCCUUGCCAGGCGACCUGGCCCGCGCGUCAGAGACCCUAAACCCACCCACCACCCACCCACCCCUGGUGCGGUGCGCGCUUGGGAGCCGCCAAGCCCGGCGACGGCUAUGGGUCUAUCUCCACGGGGUGCGGUGCGACUCUUAUUUAACCGGGCGCGAGGGGGGUCGAGGAGGGGUAGGUGGUCGCUCUCGCAUCGCAUCCGCAUCCCACGCUCGUCCUCCUUCCUUCUCCCUCGACCCGCGCAGCGCAGGCAGAUCUCAUCCCAUCCAAGGCAGGCAGGUCAGGCCACUCUCCCCCCUCCCGAAUCUCCCCCCUUCCUCUCCCCCCUCGUUCGUUCGUUCGCUCGCCCCCCGAUCUCCAUCGCAGCCCGGGCGUGGCUUCCGGCAGGGCGGGCAGAGGAAUCGAGGCGACACCGGCGAGGUACGUGAGGCGGGUCGCUGAGUUUUUUCCUACUUCUGCUUUUAGGGACGGGCGGUAGGUAGGGGCUAAAGCUGGGUUGGACGGUGCCCACCUCAGACCCAUGGGACGGGAGCAAUCUACUUGACCGGGUCAUGGCAGGGAAUCUCGCGUUGGUUGCGUCUGUCUACCGCCAGGACACUAGGCUAGAUCGCCAUAUACGUGCCAGUCAAGCUCAGAACGGCGAUGCUACUUCAGUUGGUCCUGCGGUAGCAUGAAUUGCCCGACAGGCAGGGACAUAGCUCAUCUGCAGGUAGCAUCAUCAGCUACUGUAUCAUGUGUUUCUACAAGUAGCUGUAGCCUGUAGUUGAGAAUGCGGGGGUACCCUGUUUUUUUCUGCUUUUUUUCUUGUUGUUUCUGCGUGAUGGUGGCUGUAGCUGAAACCAUGCCACCAUAUGAUCGACGCUGGAUGAUAACUGUGCUAUGUUUUGAGCAUCUCAGUGCUAGUAGCUGUUGUAGUAUGUUCCUGAGCAGCCAGCAUGGGAUUUGUGCCUGAGCUGCGCUGUCUUGGCCUCGUGGGUCACGGCUGAUUGACCCGUACUAUGGAUUAUGUUGCAGUAUACUAUCGGUUUAUUGAGCAAAUCAUCAUGUGGCUCGCUCAAUCAAAUCGGCGGCGCUGUUCGAUGCGAUUUUGAUUUCCUAGUGAACUAUGUUGCCGUAGACCAUAAAAGAGUAGGUUGUAGUUGGUUAUGGAUUUGAAUUUGACAUGUCCGCCCUGCUGCAUCUAUCCAGUGAACAUAGCAUCCAAUACUGAUUGCAUCUACUCUGAUUGACAUUUGUAACCUCACAUUCAGUUAUCCGUUGGCUACUGUCUGGAACCUCUGUUCGCUGCAAACAAUUUGUCAGAGUGAAGCUUGUUCUUGCGUCUAGUGCAUAUGCAUCAUCAUUUGGCCUCUAUAGACAGGCUUUUAUCCUUUCUAGUAAGACAUGCAUAAAUAAAUUAUCUAACUGACUUUGUGUUUGGUUCAUAUCUUUUUCAGGUACAAGAUGGCUCUCACCAGAAUUGAUCUUGCUGGCCUCGCCGUCAUGGGGCAGAACCUUGCCCUCAACAUUGCAGAGAAAGGCUUCCCCAUCUCUAUCUACAACAGGACCACCUCCAAGGUCGAUGAGACCGUUCAGCGCGCCAAGCUAGAAGGAAACCUUCCUCUCUACGGUUUCCAUGACCCUGCAUCCUUCGUCAACUCCAUUCAGAAGCCACGUGUCGUCAUCAUGUUUGUCAAGGCCGGCGCUCCGGUUGACCAGACCAUCGCAAUGCUCGCGGCACACCUGGAGCAGGGUGACUGCAUCGUUGACAGAGGAAACGAGUGGUAUGAGAACACGGAAAGGAGGGAGAAGGCGAUGGAGGAGCGUGGACUCCUCUAC
rnacentral:lncRNA from 1 species